rnacentral:rRNA from 1 species
UUGAAAGGGAAACGAUUGAAGUCAGUCAUGCUGGUGGGAAUCAACUUAGGGGAAACUCUAGGUGCACUUCUUCGCUUGGCAGGUUAACGUCGAUCUUGAAUGCCAUAAAAUAAUUGGGGGAAGGUAGCUCCUUCGGGAGUGUUAUAGCCCUUGAUAGAUGUGAUGUUUGGGGUCGAGGAUUGCAACGGAUACCCUUUGGGGCUANCCGCCUGAUCUCUAAUCGGUGUUGGGUUACGGAUAGCAUGCUGACCGUGAUCUAAUUACUGGUUAAAAGGUUAGAGUGUGCAUAAAUUCGUUAAGGAUGUUGACGUA